rnacentral:rRNA from 1 species
GUCGUACGCUUCUUUUUCCACCGGAGCUUGCUCCACCGGAAAAAGAAGAGUGGCGAACGGGUGAGUAACACGUGGGUAACCUGCCCAUCAGAAGGGGAUAACACUUGGAAACAGGUGCUAAUACCGUAUAACAAUCGAAACCGCAUGGUUUUGAUUUGAAAGGCGCUUUCGGGUGUCGCUGAUGGAUGGACCCGCGGUGCAUUAGCUAGUUGGUGAGGUAACGGCUCACCAAGGCCACGAUGCAUAGCCGACCUGAGAGGGUGAUCGGCCACAUUGGGACUGAGACACGGCCCAAACUCCUACGGGAGGCAGCAGUAGGGAAUCUUCGGCAAUGGACGAAAGUCUGACCGAGCAACGCCGCGUGAGUGAAGAAGGUUUUCGGAUCGUAAAACUCUGUUGUUAGAGAAGAACAAGGAUGAGAGUAACUGUUCAUCCCUUGACGGUAUCUAACCAGAAAGCCACGGCUAACUACGUGCCAGCAGCCGCGGUAAUACGUAGGUGGCAAGCGUUGUCCGGAUUUAUUGGGCGUAAAGCGAGCGCAGGCGGUUUCUUAAGUCUGAUGUGAAAGCCCCCGGCUCAACCGGGGAGGGUCAUUGGAAACUGGGAGACUUGAGUGCAGAAGAGGAGAGUGGAAUUCCAUGUGUAGCGGUGAAAUGCGUAGAUAUAUGGAGGAACACCAGUGGCGAAGGCGGCUCUCUGGUCUGUAACUGACGCUAAGGCUCGAAAGCGUGGGGAGCAAACAGGAUUAGAUACCCUGGUAGUCCACGCCGUAAACGAUGAGUGCUAAGUGUUGGAAGGGUUUCCGCCCUUCAGUGCUGCAGCUAACGCAUUAAGCACUCCGCCUGGGGGAGUACGACCGCAAGGUUGAAACUCAAAGGAAUUGACGGGGGCCCGCACAAGCGGUGGAACCAGGUGGUUUAAUUCGAAGCAACGCGAAGAACCUUACCAGGUCUUGACAUCCUUUGACCACUCUAGAGAUAGAGCUUCCCCUUCGGGGGCAAA